rnacentral:rRNA from 1 species
UACGGAGGUAGAGAACUGAAUGUCCUAGGGGGUAUUGCACCUACCGAAGACUAUCAAACUCCGAAUGCCGUCAUCUUAUACUUGGGAGUCAGACUGUGGGUGAUAAGAUUCAUAGUCGAAAGGGCAACAGCCCAGAUCGUCAGCUAAGGUCCCUAAAUGUAAGUGAAGUGGUAAAGGAUGUGGGAUUGCACAGACAACCAGGAUGUUGGCUUAGAAGCAGCCACUCAUUCAAAGAGUGCGUAAUAGCUCACUGGUCGAGUGAUCCUGCGCCGAAGAAUUCCGGGGCUAAAACUUACUAC